AACAUGGUCAAAAGGACCAUGUUGCUGAUGACCGGACAUGUUGCAGAUGCCACAUCAAUCCAUGGCUUGCCAGGCUAUGCCCCCAUAUAUGGAGAAUCUGGAUCUGUUACACUGAUGUCAACCAGUGAACUUCGACAGAGACAAGGUCUUGAUCUAAGACUCCAUGAGCAGAGGACCUGGCAGGAAGUGUUAAACCUACAAAUCUGUAAGACGUUAAGGCAGCCUGACCUUGUUGAGCAUAUAGGUAGCAGAAUCCUGACCCAAGAGCACAUUUUCCUGGGAGCAAAGGUCUGGAUUAGAGGAAAGAUGGUUAUGAAGAACAUUAAUGAUCGUCUUACUGGCCAUGGACAGCUUUACAUCCAAUACUAAAGUGCAACAUUGUCCCUCAGACAUUACAAAUAUGUGUGAAAUUAUUUCUCUGUGUCAGUUAGUCCACAACUGCAUAUCGCUACUGUCGAAACAAAACCUCAUACCUUUUUCAGUUUUUGACAUAAUUUGAAAGUACAGAGGCAGACAUGGAAAGUGCAAGACAUCGGUCUCAACCAGUUAAAAUUACAGGCAUAUGGGCUUCGGCAUCAGGUAUAUCAUCUUACUGAAUGACAGACUGGCCCUUCAUGUUUAAACUGAUUGGAGAAAUAUGCUCUAUGUGGGCCAGAAACCAAUCAAACUCUGUUACAGAAAAUCCUCAGCUUCUGUUUGAGGGCAUAACAUUUCAACAACUAUACAGGAAAAUCCUCUAACAGGCUUUAAAGAAUUCAAAGAGGCUGUUAAGGUUCUCCUUACACCUUUAGCCAUUACAGAAACCUCUCCACCACAAGUGCUUUUG